rnacentral:rRNA from 1 species
GUAGGUGGCAAGCGUUGUCCGGAAUUAUUGGGCGUAAAGCGCGCGCAGGCGGUUCUUUAAGUCUGAUGUGAAAGCCCACGGCUCAACCGUGGAGGGUCAUUGGAAACUGGGAGAACUUGAGUACAGAAGAGUAAAGCGGAAUUCCACGUGUAGCGGUGAAAUGCGUAGAGAUGUGGAGGAACACCAGUGGCGAAGGCGGCUUUCUGGUCUGUAACUGACGCUGAGGCGCGAAAGCGUGGGGAGCAAACAGGGAUUAGAUACCCUGGUAGUCCACGCCGUAAACGAUGAGUGCUAAGUGUUAGGGGGUUUCCGCCCCCUUAGUGCUGCAGCUAACGCAUUAAGCACUCCGCCUGGGGAGUACGGCCGCAAGGCUG